AAUCAACGCUGGCGGCGCGCUUAACACAUGCAAGUCGAGCGAGAAAGGGGAGCAAUCCCUGAGUACAGCGGCGUACGGGUGAGUAACACGUGGGUGAUCUACCUUCUAGUGUGGAAUAACCCUGGGAAACCGGGGCUAAUACCGCAUAAGCCUGUGAAGGGAAAGCAGCAAUGCGCUGGAAGAGGAGCCCGCGGCCGAUUAGCUAGUUGGUGAGGUAACGGCCCACCAAGGCGAUGAUCGGUAGCCGGCCUGAGAGGGCACACGGCCACACUGGCACUGAAACACGGGCCAGACUCCUACGGGAGGCAGCAGUGGGGAAUCUUGCACAAUGGAGGCAACUCUGAUGCAGCGACGCCGCGUGAGCGAUGAAGCCCUUCGGGGUGUAAAGCUCUUCGGCAGGGACGAUAAUGACGGUACCUGAAGAAGAAGCUGCGGCUAACUACGUGACA
rnacentral:rRNA from 1 species